UCCNCAGAUUUUGCCUUCAGAAGUCUUGC
rnacentral:piRNA from 1 species